GGCUGGUCUGAGUGCAGUAGUGCUUGCUACUAAUUGAUCAUAAUCAGUUACAGAUUUCUUUGUUUCUUUUCCACUCCCAGUGCUUCCCUUGACUAUCCUUAA
rnacentral:Y_RNA from 1 species